rnacentral:lncRNA from 1 species
UGUAAUGCGGACGUACGGGGAGAAAUCUCCACAGUCAUCCUGUGCUUGUAUCAGAAGAAUAAAAAGAAGAUGAGAAAAUUGCUCUCUGUGCUGACAAACUCCUUCUUCCCCAGGAGUGUGGAAGGGAAGGAGAUGAAGGGCUUCCAACAGGAGGGAAAAUUAGAGGCAGUGAGAUCAGAGAUCAGGGUGAAAAGCUGCCUGUGAAGGCUAAUUUGGGUUGAGCAGAGGAUUUUCUUCCAUGAAACUGCUGUCAUGAGGCUCAAUUGAGAUGAAGGCACCUGAGAAUGCUUUGGAAAGAAGUAAGUGCUGUAAACAUGGGAUAUAUUUUUGUCCACCUGUUAUACUUGAUGGAGAG